AUUCCAGCUCCAAUAGCGUAUAUUAAAGUUGUUGCAGUUAAAACGCUCGUAGUCGGAUUUCGGGGCGGGCCGACCGGUCUGCCGAUGGGUAUGCACUGGCCGGCGCGUCCUUCCACCCGGAGACCGCGCCUACUCUUAACUGAGCGGGCGCGGGAGACGGGUCUUUUACUUUGAAAAAAUCAGAGUGUUUCAAGCAGGCAGUCGCUCUUGCAUGGAUUAGCAUGGGAUAAUGAAAUAGGACUCUGGUGCUAUUUUGUUGGUUUCGAACACCGGAGUAAUGAUUAAUAGGGACAGUCGGGGGCAUUUGUAUUCAAACGACAGAGGUGAAAUUCUUGGACCGUUUGAAGACAAACUACUGCGAAAGCAUUCGCCAAGAAUGUUUUCAUCG
rnacentral:rRNA from 1 species